GACAGAGGUGCCGAGCGUUAGGCGGAAUCACUGGGCUUAAAGCGUGUGUAGGCGGAUCGUUAAGUACCUUGUGAAAUCCCACGGCUUAACCGUGGAACUGCUGGGGAUACUGGCGAUCUUGAGGUGCUCAGGGGCGAGCGGAACAGAUGGUGGAGCGGUGAAAUGCGUAGAUAUCAUCUGGAACGCCUGCGGUGAAAACGGCUCGCUGGGAGCAAUCUGACGCUGAGACACGAAAGCCAGGGGAGCGAACGGG
rnacentral:rRNA from 1 species